AGAGGGACCUGAAGGUAAGUGAUUUUUUAAUAUUAUGUGUAGAUUUUAACAUUGAUCGAAUUCAAUAUCUGUUUUUAGUUUAUAUUAUACGUUGAUACGAAAAUAGGCGUAUUUUAUUCAUUGCUUGUAAUUAAUUCUUCGUAUUAUUUUUCUUUAUCUUUCGGUACUAUAGUCUGUUUAACGAGAGAACGGACCGCUUGUGCGCAUGUUUACCCCUCCACAUAACUUGAUUUCAGCGAAGGCAGCCGAUUGUCAUUUCUUCCGUCGUCGGUUUUUGACUAUACACCGCUAGGAAAUUUUGUAGAAAUUCAAUUGUUAUUAUUAUCAGACAUCGCACAUCGCACGUUUUUUUAUGUUUGCUGUUUUAUAACCUGUUGAUGAUUUUUCAAAUCGUAAACUAUCGUAUAUACAAGCACCUUCUAUAAUAAUCCAGACUUUGUUUUUUUUGUAUACAUAUUUAUUUAUUUAAUAUUUUAUUGAACACUGUAGGUAUAAUACAGUAGGUAUNUUUUUCGUUAAAAUUACAAUUUAUCAUUUUUGUCAUAUUUACAUUUUAUUUUAUUUUUGAUAAAAUUACAAAUUUAUAAUACUAAUUAUUCGUCAUAUUUACAUAAUUUUUUUAAAAUAAUUAAAAAAACGGAAAAAAAAGUAAAAAUUACCAAACGUUACAAAAAAGUAAACGCUGUAAAAAUGACGUGUGCGUACUCCACGGCUAUUGGCGAUAAACAGUGGACUUCUAUGUCUGAGGAAAGGUUAAACAUUUUAGCUCUAUUGAAUAUUAAAAAUGAAUCACUAAAUGCUAUUCAUUUAAAUGACUUAAUAAAUUACUUCAAUUACUUUAGCUCUAAAAAAGCAAGAAAAAAGUUGUGUAUUAAAUAAAUUUAAAUAUUUUUAUAAUUUUGUUUUUGUUUUUUUACAAUGGACUAUAAAAAAUGUUUGCCUAGGGCUAAUGACAGUCUUAAUCUGGCACUGUUGGUAUGGGAAUACCAUAGAAUGAAUAAUAUAUGUGUAAACAAAAAUAAUAAACUGGACGAGAAUGUUUUAAAUUAUUUGGUUUCUGUAUUAUAUUCUUCGUUUAUUAAAAAUAUAAAAUGGAUUUAUCUGGAAUGUAAGUUUUACCAUUCUCUAGUUCUACUAUAAUUAGGCAGUAAGCCAGAAAUCAUACAGAAUAAUAUUCUUCGCUCAAGACAGUUAAUUGUAUUUAAUAUCUAUAGACACCGCUUUUCAGUUCUAAGUAGUAACCAGUAGAAGAAACAAUAACUGACACUACCUCUCCAACACCAACUGCUAAUUUACAAAUUAAAUGACAUCAAUAUUUUUUUUUUUUUUUUAAAUUAAUUCAAGUCACAAGAUCAAACAUUUCAAGAACAAAAUAUUUUAGAAGAAAUGAAACCUUCUUUAAGCAAACGCUUGUGUUGAAGGCAUAGAGCAUAAAUAUAAAAUAUAGCUUAGAUAACAAUAGUACAACAAUAAAAUAGAAUAAAGACAAACGUAAUAUACAUACAUUAAUUUAAAAUAAAAUAAAAUAUGACUAAAUUAUACAUAGAUAUACUUAUUAAUACACUAUAUUAAUUGAUAUGGGUAAUACAAAGAUAGAUCAAUGAAAAAGAAGGCAACAUAAUUAAAUUUAUACGAGAGAAAAAACCAAAAAUUGAAUUGCAAUUUUCAUAAAUAAUAAUUUAACAGGAAAGACAUUAAAUGUCAUAAAACUAACUGAAGAGGAUUCUUCUAAAAUAGACUUACGUAGACAUAUACAAUGUAUAUAACUACGUAAGUUUAUUUUAUGUAUAUUAAACUGUUUUUCUUAUGUAAUUAAAGGAAGAAUCUCAUUAUCAGCCAUCCCACCCGAAAUUAACAGACCGUACUGAAAUGAAAUUUAGUACAGAGAUUAGAAUACUAUACGCAGUGCUUGUAUUGGUAUAAUAUGAUGUAACUAACAGAAACUGAAACUCGGGCUCAAAGGUUCCAUAACUAGACUAUUUGCAUGUAAAUUUCAUUGCAAAUUUUUGUCGAAAGGUAAACCUAAAUAUCUGAUUUUAUAAUGUGUAACAAUGACUACUGUUGCAAAGUAUUUUAUCAUCACAGAAAUGCAAUAUAAGAUUUUCAAGAAUUUCGUUUUUAUUGUUUAUCAGAAAAUGUAUAAACAUAGGUUUUUUGAAAUUAAUAGUUAACUUCCUAAAAUGUAUGUAUUCAAUAAUUUGUCUAGCCCCAUACGACGCUUAUUCCCGCAAUCAAACCCAUGUAUCACCCAAAAAGAGCAGACAGGUGUCAUCUGCAUAAGUUAGAAUUUGAUCAUUAAUGUCAAGGUUACAUAUAUUAUUAAUGUAUAAAAUGAAUAAAAGUGAUCAAAGAACACUACCCUGAGAUACUCUAUAGUUCAAAGAAAGUUCAUUGCCAGAGACAUUAAUUUUAACGGAUCGGCUUCGAUUAGUUAAAGAACUUUCAAACCACUUUAAACAAAUAUUUAUUAAUUAAUAUUUAAGUUGGAUAAAAUAGAAAUUAGCUCUCUUUGAUUUUUUGUGCCAAAGACCUUUGCCAAAUCCAAAAAAAUCGCUCGUGAUUUUUCGCCAUUAUUAGGAGACUCAGUAAUAACUUUUUUUGUAUAGUAAAAAAUUUCUUCCGUGCCUAUACCUGAUUUAAAACCAAAUUGAUUUAGAGAGUAAGUCUUCUAGAAAUAUCAUAAAUCUACUUUUUAUAAUUUUUUCAAAUAUUUUGGAAAAAUAUUUAGGAUAGAGAUUGGUCUGUAAUUAUUAUUAGAAGUUUUAUCUUAGCUUUUGAAAAGAGGUUUUACAAUUGCUAAUUUCCAGAUUUUUGAAAAAAUACCUUUUGUAAUACUUAAGUUAUGUAUGUAAGUUAAAGGUUUGACUAUAUAUGGUACAUUUAGAUUAAGUAUUUUAGUAGAUAAGCAAUCAAAACCAGUAACAGUUUCAUCUUUUAGUUUGUUCAUUAUUAUAAGAACAUCUGAUUGUGUUAUUUUGAUAUUUAACAAAUCAAAAGACUUAAAUGUUAAAUAUUUCAAAAAUUUUAAGAGAUUUCUUAUUACACUAAUUAGGUCAUAAGGUAUUAUAAUUAGUUUAAUUUCAUCAUUUACAGUUUGAUUUUUUUAUUGAAUACCUCGCAUGGCUCUCUACGUGAAUUUUUGGCUGAAAGAAACAUCUUAAUAUUUUGUUUUAUAAAAGUUAAAUUUAGCUGUUCGUAAGGUUUUUGUGAAAUAAUUUUAUAUCUAAAUACUAUACAUCGGAAUAUGUACUUAGCAGAGGAUGCGCGAUAAACAUUUUAAAGAGAAAUUGGGCGUGUCAAUAAGAAACCUGGGGAUGCUAAGCAACCAUUAGUACUUCACUGUGAGCGCAUAUGAAUACAAAUAUAUAUAUAUAAAUAAACCGAUCAACAAUAGCAAUUGUAGUCGUAGUCACGAAUUAGCCGUACGUGAGAUGUGUUUAUAAUUAACUUGUGUUUUAUAAUUAAUCAUUUGUUAUAUUUACUUAUUUGUUUGAAAAUUUCUCAAUUUUACAUUCAAGCAUCCAAAUAAAAAUAUCCAUAAAAAAAUAUUAAAAUAUUAAAAAAAUAUAUAUAAGUUAUAAAAAUACAAUGAUAGUUAUUUUGGUUAAACUUUCAUUAAAAUAGACAAUGACAAUAGUCCCAAACAUGUUAUUUAUUUUAAAGUAAUAGCUGCCGAUAGUAUAAUGUCAAAUAAAGUAAAACGUCAAUUUGAAACCAAACGUAUCACUAUGAUUACUAAAAUUAGGUUCUACGAUAACGGGGAAGAAUACAACUAAUGUCAUAGAUAAUUUAAAGGAUAUCAGCAUGUCAUUUUAUAGUAAAAUAAUUAAAUAGGCUUUAUAUAUUUUCUUAAAUCAUAUUUGUUUAAUGAUGCACCGAUUCCCAAUUUUCCCAUGUUUUCCCCAGUCUAAAGUACCUCCCUAGUAAAAUUUUCUUUCAGAAACAUUGCAUUCAUUAAAAGUUGGACAAACAUUCUAGGCAGAAUAGUUGUAAAUAGGAAAAGAAGAAAUAUUUUAGUAAUAUAUUCUCUGAUAUUUUACGGUUUUUUAUCGGUUUCUAAAUUAGACGAGAAAACUACAGAGAAAAUCAAAAAAUGCCCUACAUCAGGUACCUCUCCACAAAAAUUUCCUUUUAGAAAAGGUGCUAAACAUAGAAAUCUGAACAAGUAGUGUGGUAGAAAAGUUGAUAAUAAUUUAUCAUUUUUAUAAAAAGUAAUUUAAUGUUACGGGAUUUCCCAACUUAUAUAAUAUUAUAUAAAGAAUAGGCCUGUAGUACAACACAUAUCACAAUAUUUAUAACACAAUCAUGAACGUUUUUCUGUAAUAUUAAUGUAUUUUUUAUUCUAUCGGAUUAUACAACACAUUAUUGUUAUGUUACCUAUAAUUAAUAUUACUGUUUUGUUUUUCUUUUUUUACUCUAGCCAUUUAACUACGUUUUUUCUAUUUACAACUUUUCUACCACCAAUUAUGCUCAGAUUUUCAAUGAUGCCACUAUUUCGGCAAGUAAAUAUGACUGGGAAAAUACUUUAAAAAAGUCAUUUUUCGAUUUUAUAACAAAUUUGACAUUCCGGAAAAAACACGGACAACCGUGAAAAUGCAGGGAAAACGGGGAAAUCAAUACAAUAUGAAAUAAAUAUUAUCAAAGAAAAUAUUUAAUCCCUACUUAAUUAUUUUCCAUGAUACGACAUAUAAAUUGGUGUCGAAGCUUCACUAUCAACUGAACUUCACUCAGAAUCGUUUUUUCGUAAGCAAUAGAAUAUCGUUUCUUACAAUUAUACAUUAUGUUACCUAUAACGGUGGUUGUACUCGUCCCCAUCAAACUAGCACGUCUUUAUUAUAUACUAAUACUAUUAUUAUGGAGCAUAAUUUACCCAGAAAAGUUAAUGAUAUUUUUAUCAUGACAAUAUAUUGAGAUAUUUAUAACAAGAUAAUGAACGUUCAUGAAACACAUUAUUUAUAUUUCUGUAUUUUUUCUUUCUUUUGAAGGUCAGGAAGAACCGCGUAUGUUAUAUUCUAAAUUUUGUAUGUAGUCGUUAUAAAAAGCCUAUACGAUACGUUACUGGCCGAUUCGAUACCGUAUUACAAUUUCAAUAAUUCCUAAUAUGUACGGCUCGCUUUCCCAACAUAUUUAAUAUUUUAUAACAUGGGGUCAGUGCCUGUAGUACAGUUAUAACUGGGUUAUUUAUACCCCGAGUCAAAGUAAACAGGUAUUAUUAAUUUACAUUUUAAAACUACAUAACACCGACCACGCCGGAUAUAUAAAUCUGCCAUCAUUGAGACACUCUUGAGUAUUGCCGGAUAGCACUCGAUUAAAAUAUAAAACAAAACCGCGUUGCAGUGCUUACGACAGCGAAAAAUCUAUUUUAGCACAAUAAAUAAAAAUAUAUGAUCAUAUUAUAAACUACUCCGUUUAAUAAUACAUCUAUGCGCGUAUUCUCGCAAAACAUGUAUCCAGGGGACGACGUAACGUACGAGGUUAUCGCCUGAUUAGCAAUAUCAUGUUGUUGACUAAAAGCGAGUACUUUGCAUAUCUAGCUAGGGGUCCAGGGCAUGUGUACCGGUCGUCGAGUACGUCUUUCAGACGAGUCUCGCCACUGUCAUCUGCAAGCACCUUCACGCCAGAUAAAAUUGUGAUUGAAUUAAAAGUGUUAUACUAUAUUUCAACUAAAAUAUAUAAACUUAUACAAUUUUUGUGAUUCCCCUUUUUAACAUGAACUUGACUCUGAGUGUGAAAAUACGCCCAAAACACUUUUCACUGGUCAUUCAAUAAGUCUGUGUAGAAAAGCUUCGUCGUGGUCUUAGGAUCGCGUAUAAAUGAAUGUAUAACUGAAAAAAUAUAAUUUACAAUAAAAUAAUAAUGGUAUUGUUAAUAUAUUACAAUAUUUAGAUAUUUAUAACACGAUAUUGAACGUUUUUUCUAUAAUAUUUAGGUCUUUUUUAUUCUGUCGGAUUAUACAAUACAUUAUUGUUAUGUUACCUAUAAUUAAUAUUGCUGUUUUCUUUUUUUUUUUUUUUACUCUAGCCAGUGAACGGCAAAUGCCACCAAGUAAUUCAUAUUUUAAAUAUUUCAUAUAGACUUUAUUAGAAGUAAUAAAUUUACCAAGUAAAACUGAAAUUAUUCAAAUGGUGAAUAUUCUUAAAUAAAUAUAGAAGCUAUAGAUUAUCGUUUCUUACAAGUAUAAAUUAGAUUACCUAUAACAGUGGCUGCACUCGUCCCCAUUUAACUACGUUUACAUGUCUUUAUUAUAUACUAAUAGAACAUAAUUUACACAGAAAAGUCAAUGAUAUUUUUAUCAUGAAAAAUUAUUGAGAUAUUUAUAACACGAUAAUGAAACACAUUAUUAAUAUACUUGUAUUUUUUUUUCUCUUGAAGGUCAGGAAGAACCACGUAUGUUAUAUUCUAAAUUUUGUAUGUUGUCGUUAUUAGAAAACGUAUACGAUACGUUACUGGCCAAUUCGAUACCGUGUUACAAUUUCAAUCAUUGUUGAUAUGACAAUAAAUUUCAUCCCGAACCAAACCCUAAAAAUACAAAAUUGUGCGUACCCAACAAUUUUGCACCGACGACGACCGAGUGCGAGAACCGGAUCAUGAAGAAGGAACGAUCCGAAUGGAGCGACACCCUGCCAUCAUCACAUUAGAAUUAUAAUGUAACAUUAUAUAAUAUACAUUUUGUAUGAUGUUUUACUAAAAUACGUACAUAAAAUUUCAAUCAACCUAUAGAAUUUUGUUGAUAGUCACUUUUAGAAAAAGGCAACUGGGUCAAAAUGCCGCACGUGGGGAGAACUUAAAAUAGAACUUUUAGGCACUAUUCGCACCAACAUAUUAUAUCAUUAAAACUUAAAUGAUAAUACGUUUUAUUAUUUUCCUUUCUUUUUUUUUUUUUUUUUUUUUUUUUUUUUUUUUUACAAUAGUUGAAACAAGAAAUUUAUUAGGUAAGUUAUGUUUUUAAUAUCCUAUAUUUCUCAUCGUUUUAACUCUCGAUAGUACCACGAAAUCUGUGUUUUGUUUAACAAUUAUAAUUUUAUGCACUGUAAAAAAUUUUAAUUUAUCAAAAUAACUGUUACCGAACUUUAAUCAUGAUAUUUUGAAUACGUUUUAUCCAAAUGGUUACGAUAAUUUUUGUCUAAUUACCACCAAAAUAUAAUAAUUGUCCUGUUUUAAUUUUUAUUCUAGCUUUCUUUGACCGUAAGCCAAUAUUUGAUUUAGAAUUCAAUAUCAACACUAUAGGGUGUCUUACAGUGUCAUACGUACAUUGCACGUGUUAUAACUUACCAUUUUCAAUUUUUCAAUUUACUUUUUUUCAAUUGCGUUCCAGAUCAGUAGGAUACAUUUAUAAAGAAAAUAAAAUGUUUUCAUUCCUUCAAGACUGAAAAUAACGACUUUUUUUCACUAUUCAAAAGUUUCAAAAUAGCUACCUUGUAAAUAAUAUUCUUCUGAUUAUUUCAAUACAUUCAAAUCCGACCAAUUAUUAGUAUCAAUAGCUAAUUAAUUAUUGUUUUCACCAAUAAUUUAUUUUCAAUAGGAUAUCACGCGUUGCUCGAUAAGAAUUCAUAAUCAGCACGGUAAUUCCUUAUCUUUUAUUGACAGUUUAUUAUUAUCCCGCCAAUUUUUUAAAAAUUAAAACGGCUAUUACUCAGAAAUUAUUUAUCGGAUAUGAAGGUAAGCAACGAUUAACCAUUAAUAACGAAAAAAGGUAUCCUGGGAUAAUGGGGAUAGGUGCAGCCGCUAAUGUUGUGAGAGUUAGGAAGUUAGGAUAUUCCAUAUAUUGUUAGGACUAAUUUUGACUGAGUUUUUUGUGCAAUUAAUAAAACUUUUAUAAUCACGAUGUCUAAUCGUUCUACAAUGACUUCGAGUAUUAGAAAAACGUACGUAUGAUUCAGGCGUUUUUACAUUUUUUUUAAAUAUGAUAAGAAUUUUGUUUGCGUUAUAUUCAUAUUUUUAGUUCUUUACUAAACCAAAUAGGAUUGGAUGUACUAGGUCUGCAAACUUUCGGUAUAAAUCGAUUUAUAACACAAUUAAUAUGGGUAUCUUUAUCGAAAUCAUUAUUAAUAUUAUAACAGUUAGAAUUCAUUGUAUUGAACCAGUUAAUAUUAUCUAAGUAGCUUAUAAUGAUUCUGUAAUCACCAGAAUUCCAAUUCGAGACAUAUUCGUUGAAUUGUUAAUCUACAGAAAUUAAGCAAUUGUAAGUUAUAGAUAGUGGGACGUGAAAAUCAUCUACAGGCACACUGGAAAAGGUAUUUCGUUUAACAUACACGGAUAAACAAUCAAAAAUUACAUAAUCAAGGAUUACGGAUUUUAUAUUAGAUGUAUGAUUGUAUUUAUAUGACACAUUUAAAUAAUAUGUUUUAUCAUUAAAAUGCGAUUCAUUGUAGGGAAAGUUAGCAAAAGAUAAUUUAUAAUCGCCCAGUUAUCAAUAGACCGAUCCUGGUCGGUUAUCAACCAUACACUCAAUUUAUGUUAAAAUGUUCCAUUUUUUAAUAGUAGAUGUUACGAUCCAUUCGGGAUUUAUUCAAAAAAAUGUUUAAUUCAUUGUUCACUAUCGGUCCGUUGUAAAGUAGUACGUAAUAUGGAUUGAGAACGGAGUGUUUCAAAUACUUCUGUAGCAUUAGAUAAUACAAUUUUCACCGGUCGUUGUUUAUCUGAAGUAGUUGAAUUCGGUUGACCGAGACGAGAGAAAUUGAUUUAAGUAAUUUGUUUUAUCCAUUUCGCUGAGCAUCUUGAAGAAAUGUACAUUAUCAGUUUCCGAAUGUUCAGUAUUAUUCUUAGAUUCAGUAAAUUGAAUACGAUUAAGUUGUUAAUCCUGUUCGGAUUCUGUUACGGUUCAGUUUUUCCCGUUUAUGGAAGAUUUUCUAGGAAAAUCAAAAAAAGACCCUUCUAAAGUACAAUCCCCAUUCCGAUUUUCUUUCUAAAAUGGUGCUAUCUUUCAUAAGUGGAGCAAAAAUGCGCGGAGAAAACCCUAAUAGAACAUUGACAUGAAUAAUAGACAACCUUGUGUUUUAAGCUUCGCUCGGAUCUAAAAUGGCUAUUUUGAAAAUGUUAAAAAGUGAAACACGAUUGAAAAAAAAAUAUAAGUUACACAACGUUCAUAUAACACUGUACGACAUUCUGUAUGUUAAAAGAUUACUUUGUGAUUGUUAAGUAUGAUUAAUUAUAAGUAUUUAAUGGAUGACGAGAAAAAAAUUUUAAAUAAAAAGACGAUAGUGGGAUGGGUGUGUCACUUUUGUUAGUGGAAAGUCGGGAAGAUAUGGAUACAUAAUGUUAUUUAAUUUAUAUCCAUGUAAAACGAAAAAGGGAUACUUGUAUGAAGGACAACCGACGGUACAACUUCCAAUUCAGAAAAAGAGUCAAGAACCCGACCAAAUGGCUUCCUGUUGAUUAGAUACGAGCUUAACCAAGUAAGGAGGUGAUUCCCGCCAAGUGCCAGUAGUUCUCUAAUUAUAAGUUCACAAUCAAACGUAUCAAAUUAUUUUCUAAAAUCUGUGAAGAUUACGUCGACUUGAAUUUUCUGCUCGUGGCAUUCAAUGACAUAUGAUGUAAUUAUAUUAUUAUCAAAAGAAGUUCCAACUCAUCGUACGACGAUUGAGAAUGUUGUAUACUAUUGUAUUUCUGAAUCAUAUAAUUUGUCCAUAUAUUGUACAGAUUUAUGAACAAUAUAUGAUUUAUUAUUUAUAUAAAAAGUAACCUUAUGUUACGGGCGACGGCUCGGUUUCCCAACAUGUAUAACGUUAUGUAGUAUAGGGUAUAGGCCUAUAGUACAGUGCUACUCGGGUGAUAUAUACCCAGAGUCAAAUUAGACAGGUAUAAUUAUCUCACAUGUAAAAUCUACGUAUUACCGAUCAAGCCGUAUCUAUAAAUCCGCCUAACGCCGAGGCAAUUUCGAAUAUUGCAGGAAAGCGCUCGAAAAAUGUAAAAAAAAAAACCCCUGUCGCAAUGCAAACGACCGCGAUCAAUCUAUUUCGGCAGAAUAGAAUUAAUCUGUGUAAUAAGAUACCUAUGGGCGUAUUCUCGCGAGACCUGGAUGCAGGAGCCGACGUACGAGGUUAUCGCCCUACUGGCAAUAUCAUGAUGUUGCCUAAAAGCGAGUACUAUACAUAAAUAGCAGGAGGGGGGGGGAGGUUCCUAGGGCAUCUGUACUGGUCGCCGAGUAACUCUUUUCAGACGAGUCUUACCACGUUCAUUUGCGAGCACUUUCACGCCACCUUCACUUGUUAUAAUAUAUUUCAACUGAAAUAAAAAAACUUAUACAACUAUGGGAAAUAACUCUUUCAACAUAAACUUGACUCUGAGUGUGANAAUACGCCCAAAACACUUUUCACUGGUCAUUCAAUAAGUCUGUGUAGAAAAGCUUCGUCGUGGUCUUAGGAUCGCGUAUAAAUGAAUAUAUAACUGAAAAAAUAUAAUUUACAAUAAAAUAAUAAUAGUAUUGUUAAUAUGAUACAAUAUUUAGAUAUUUAAACACGAUAUUGAACGUUUUUCUGUAAUAUUUAGGUAUUUUUUAUUUUGUCGGAUUAUACAAUACAUUAUUGUUAUGUCACCUAUAUUUAAUAUUACUGUUUUCUUUUUUUUUUUACUCUAGCCAGUGAACAACAAAGGCCAUCAAGU